AUUGAACGCUGGCGGCAGGCCUAACACAUGCAAGUCGAACGAGUUGCGGACGGGUGAGUAAUGUCUGGGAAACUGCCUGAUGGAGGGGUAUAACUACUGGAAACGGUAGCUAAUACCGCAUACCAUCCGAUUUGCCCAGAUGGGAUUAGCUAGUAGGUGGGGUAACGGCUCACCUAGGCGACGAUCCCUAGCUGGUCUGAGAGGAUGACCAGCCAGACUGGAACUGAGACACGGUCCAGACUCCUAAGGGAGGCAGAAGUGGGGAAUAUUGCACAAUGGGCGCAAGCCUGAUGCAGCCAUGCCGCGUGUAGGAAGAAGGCCUUCGGGUUGUAAAGUACUUUCAGCGAGGAGGCGUUACUCGCAGAAGAAGCACCGGCUAACUCCGUGCCAGCAGCCGCGGUAAUAC
rnacentral:rRNA from 1 species